UCGCAGAUCAAAGUCGUCUCUGUCAACAGGCAGAUAUCUCGUGAGCGGUCGUUGCCAUUCGCUAACGUUGCUGGUACCGCGGCGGCUGCGGCGAGGCGCGUUGCUGAGGGAUACUGUAAUAGGAACAUUGAGACCUAAAGACAUAAGAGGCAUUAUUCAUUGAAAUAUGACGAAAAAUACAAAUCAAUUAGACGACCCACAGACCCUGUUGACUGAGAAGUCCCGGUUUCGAAUCUCGGAGGCAGGAUUAUUAAGCUAUUAUGGCACUUCACUUUUGGCAAUACUCCACGAAUUGAAACAAAACACAGAUUUACAAUUAAACGUCAAAAUGUCAACAGAAAGUUGUUGGACACUGUGGCACAAGUCGCGCGGC